AGAAACCAUAGGCAUUUCAUUCCAUUUUUCCCCUGGAGUGGAAGGGAGCUGCAAAUUGGUUAUGGAGAGUGAAAAUGAUAAUGCACUAUAGAGAAAUACGGGCCAGAUAAGACAGCAGAGGCCUUGAGAAGCAGAGACACCAGAUGCGGCAUAAAGGAGUACAGGCAUGGAGUGAUAAUAGAUGGGGCACAGGCUGGCACUUCAGACCCCACAGCUAUAAACAGCUCACCAAUGGUCAGUUAAAGAAAUGCACACCUAGAGCUGGACAAAACUUGUUUCAGGUGUAACAAACUGAAGAAAGAAAUUGUAUCUAACAUUUGUAAAAGGCACCAUACAUAGCAAAUUCAGAUGUGCUAUGGAGCUGAAGACCAAUGAAGAAAGAGCAAGGUGUAAAAGCAUGUAAGCAAAUGUAUAAAAAUGACCCCAAGUGGAUCCUAGAUUGAGGAAGACACCAUCAAGAUGAACAUCUUAUUCCUCCCAGUGAAGGACUCCAGAUGCUGACAACUCGUCACGACACCCCGCAUUUCCACUGCCAGAAAAAUACGCCAACCUUGGGACCCUGAGGAGCAGAAGAAGGAUGAGCAUGAGAGCAGGAUAAAGGGUAAAAACUGAGAGAGAAGAGAAAAGAGAGAGAAGAGAAGAGAAGAGAAGAGAAGAGAAGAGAAUGAAGCAAAGAAAAAAAUAUCCAACUGUAAACAUCAUCCAUUUGAAGGUGCAAAAUAAGAAAAUGUAAUACAAAAACCAGAAUCUUUUAAAAAUGACUGAAAUAUUUCCUAAAAAUUUUAUUUUCCUCUUUUCUUAUCUUUAGCUUAAAUUUAUUUGUGUUUAAGUUUAUUCUACUUAUCCCAGGUGGUAAAUAUGGUGUCAUACAAGUUUAAAAAAACUCAAACCCCAAGGAUCUAAUCCUAGAUUAGAUCAGCUGAGCUUUAUCUAAAAACUAUGUUCUUUCAGAACAUGCAGUGAUUUCAUCAUUACUCUGCCUCUGGAUUAAAUUAAUCCUUUUCUGUUUCUUUUGGGAAUUUAGCAAUGCCCUUUAUAGCAGGGCUUUUUUCAUCUCACAAUGGUGUUGUUGUAUACGAGUUGGCCUUUGAUAAUGCAAUCUUGUUUCCAUGGUCUGCAUCCAUUUGAAGGGGAUGUCCUGAUUUAAUUAAAGACUGCAACUGUGCAUUCCCUGUAUGGUUAUGUUCAAAAGCACAGAGCACUGCGAGCUUCCCUUGCUUGCCCCAAACUGAAACAAAUUGUUUUUGAAGCUGACAGGUUGAGGUGGAGUUCCCAAUUGUGUGGCCUAAUUUCCUGUUAUCUUACUGUCAGGAAAUAGCUGGUGCCCCACUCCCAGCAGGAGUGAGGAGGGGUAGCACCACUGCAAUACGCCGGUUGGACGGCUGGAAUACUUCUGCUGGUAUCCAGGAGCCACACAAAAUGUGGCAUUUCCCUCUUGGGAACAAAAAAAAAAAAAAAGAAAAAAGAAAAAAAAAAAGAAAGGAAAAAUCAAUAUAUAGAAAUUAAUGUGCCUUUGUGAAGAUUCAAAACAGAUGGGGAAAAGGUCAAGGAUUCUUUGUUGCUAAGUGCGUUUCUAUGACAACUGCAAUAUGUAUGUUAUGAGUGAGCAAUCAUUUGUUCCAGCUGCUGGAUCAUUAAAGUGGUAGCAUCUCCCAGAACACUGGAAAUGUUAUUCAUGGCUUAUUUACUUUUUCUUUGCCACCCCUUUAAAUCAAGGUUCAACAGGUAGCACUCUGUAAGCACAUGAAAGCCUCAGUCAAUCUGAGCAUGCUAAACCACAGGUCUGUGUGAGUCCAUGCUGCACAGUGAGUACCUUGCAGGAUGCUGGGGGAGCUUACUAAGGAGAUUAGGGAGAUUAAUAUAGAUCCAGUCGUGCAAUUCAAUCUGUACACAUCUGAUGUUGGGCUGUGUUGGAUGCCUUUUCUGUAGAAUUUAUGGCAUGACUUCAGAGAGGUCUGAGACUUGUCUCUCUUCAGUCCACUACAGCAUGGGAAUAACAGUACGUACAAAGACUUAAAAAAUGUUUGGAUGUCAUCCUACAAAAAGUUAAUUAACUAAAGUGUCAAUAGUAAAACACUCCUUUCUUCACAUGUUGAAAUAAAAGGACAAAGUUUUCAUCACCGCCUGGUUUUCCAUGCUCCAUUUACUAUGACAGCAUGGGGAUCCGGUGCAAGAAGCACAAGUUUCAUUCGGAUUCAAUUUUAUGAGCCUUUCCAUUUAUGUCAUUUCACUAACUUCAUUUUCUGUUGUUUUCAUGGAAGAAUAAAACUAUAAUGGGGUUGAUACAGGGUCAAUAUCCAUUGCCAGGGAUAUUGAUGACCGAGUUGGGUAUUAUUUCUGUUCCGUGAAUUGUGUAUCUGGAAAAGGUGGCCACAUCAGUGUCUCUCAGCCUACCACUCAGUCAUUUCUGGUUGCACGUGAGCCACUCUGUCUUCCCUCGCGGUGCUGUAGCUGACAGCCAGAAAACACCUCUCUAACUUUCAAUAUGACGUCUUGUAGAAAAUUUCAAAGUCUAUUUAUUGAUUAAAAGAAAAAGGAAAAAGAAAUAGUC